UACGUAGGGGGCUAGCGUUGUCCGGAAUCAUUGGGCGUAAAGCGCGCGUAGGCGGCCCGGUAAGUCCGCUGUAAAAGUCAAAGGCUCAACCUUUGAAUGUCAGUGGAUACUGCCGGGCUAGAGUCCGGAAGAGGCGAGUGGAACUCCUGGUGUAGCGGUGGAAUGCGCAGAUAUCAGGAAGAACACCGACGGCGACGGCAGCUCGCUGGGACGGUACUGACGCUGAGGCGCGAAAGCGUGGGGAGCGAACAGG
rnacentral:rRNA from 1 species